rnacentral:rRNA from 1 species
AGCAGCCGCGGUAAUUCCAGCUCCAAUAGCGUAUAUUAAAGUUGUUGCAGUUAAAAAGCUCGUAGUUGAAUUUCGGGAUCAAUAUGUUGGUCGUGCCUCGGUACGUACUAGCAUAUUGGUUUCUCCUUUCUGAAGAACCAUUGAUGUCAUUCAUUUGGUGUCGUGGGGAAUCAGGACUGUUACUUUGAAAAAAUUAGAGUGUUUAAAGCAGGCUCACGCUUGAAUACAUUAGCAUGGAAUAAUGAAAUAGGACGUUUGAUUCUAUUUUGUUGGUUUCUAGGAUCGACGUAAUGAUUAAUAGGGAUAGUUGGGGGCAUUAGUAUUCAAUUGUCAGAGGUGAAAUUCUUGGAUUUAUUGAAGACUAACUACUGCGAAAGCAUUUGCCAAGGAUGUUUUCAUUAAUCAAGAACGAAAGUUAGGGGAUCGAAGACGAUCAGAUACCGUCGUAGUCUUAACCAUAAACUAUGCCGACUAGGGAUCGGAUGAUGUUAAUUUUUUAAUGACUCAUUCGGCGCCUUACG